UGUUCGUGGUUAAUUUGAUAGUCAUAGCAAUAGAAAUAUUAUUUUCAAAAUUUUUGAGAUUUGUAAGCAUAGAAUACGGUAAUGAAAUUAGUUCAAGAUGAGUUUGAUUUUUCGUUAUUGAAU